rnacentral:rRNA from 1 species
UACGUAGGGACCGAGCGUUGUCCGGAAUCAUUGGGCGUAAAGAGCUUGUAGGCGGUUUGUCGCGUCUGCUGUGAAAUUUCGGGGCUCAACCCCGAACUUGCAGUGGGUACGGGCAGACUAGAGUGUGGUAGGGGAGACUGGAAUUCCUGGUGUAGCGGUGAAAUGCGCAGAUAUCAGGAGGAACACCGAUGGCGAAGGCAGGUCUCUGGGCCAUAACUGACGCUGAGAAGCGAAAGCAUGGGGAGCGAACAGG